GCUUCUUGUUGAUUCGAGUGGCAAACGGGUGAGUAACGCGUAAGCAACCUGCCCUCUAGAUGGGGACAACAGCUGGAAACGGCUGCUAAUACCGAAUACGUUCUUUUCUGUCGCAUGGCAGAGAGAAGAAAGGGAGGCUCUUCGGAGCUUUCGCUGGAGGAGGGGCUUGCGUCUGAUUAGCCAGUUGGAGGGGUAACGGCCCACCAAGGCGACGAUCAGUAGCCGGUCUGAGAGGAUGAACGGCCACAUUGGGACUGAGACACGGCCCAGACUCCUACGGGAGGCAGCAGUGGGGAAUCUUCCGCAAUGGACGAAAGUCUGACGGAGCAACGCCGCGUGAACGAUGACGGCCUUCGGGUUGUAAAGUUCUGUUAUACGGGACGAAUGGUACGACGGUCAAUACCCGUCGUAAGUGACGGUACCGUAAGAGAAAGCCACGGCUAACUACGUGCCAGCAGCCGCGGUAAUACGUAGGUGGCAAGCGUUGUCCGGAAUUAUUGGGCGUAAAGGGCGCGCAGGCGGCGUCGUAAGUCGGUCUUAAAAGUGCGGGGCUUAACCCCGUGAGGGGACCGAAACUGCGAUGCUAGAGUAUCGGAGAGGAAAGCGGAAUUCCUAGUGUAGCGGUGAAAUGCGUAGAUAUUAGGAGGAACACCAGUGGCGAAAGCGGCUUUCUGGACGACGACUGACGCUGAGGCGCGAAAAGC
rnacentral:rRNA from 2 species